rnacentral:rRNA from 1 species
GAUGAACGCUGGCGGCGUGCCUAAUACAUGCAAGUCGAGCGAACAGACGAGGAGCUUGCUCCUCUGACGUUAGCGGCGGACGGGUGAGUAACACGUGGAUAACCUACCUAUAAGACUGGGAUAACUUCGGGAAACCGGAGCUAAUACCGGAUAAUAUAUUGAACCGCAUGGUUCAAUAGUGAAAGACGGUUUUGCUGUCACUUAUAGAUGGCUCCGCGCCGCAUUAGCUAGUUGGUAAGGUAACGGCUUACCAAGGCAACGAUGCGUAGCCGACCUGAGAGGGUGAUCGGCCACACUGGAACUGAGACACGGUCCAGACUCCUACGGGAGGCAGCAGUAGGGAAUCUUCCGCAAUGGGCGAAAGCCUGACGGAGCAACGCCGCGUGAGUGAUGAAGGUCUUCGGAUCGUAAAACUCUGUUAUUAGGGAAGAACAAAUGUGUAAGUAACUAUGCACGUAUUGACGGUACCUAAUCAGAAAGCCACGGCUAACUACGUG